rnacentral:tRNA from 1 species
CGCGAGGUAGAGCAGUCUGGUAGCUCGUCGGGCUCAUAACCCGGAGGUCGGAGGUUCAAAUCCUCCCCUUGCAACCA